UACAGAGGUCUCAAGCGUUGUUCGGAUUCAUUGGGCGUAAAGGGUGCGUAGGUGGCGCUGUAAGUCGGGUGUGAAAUUUCGGAGCUUAACUCCGAAACUGCAUUCGAUACUGCGGUGCUUGAGGACUGGAGAGGAGACUGGAAUUCAUGGUGUAGCGGUGAAAUGCGCAGAUAUCAGGAGGAACACCGGUGGCGAAGGCGGGUCUCUGGGCCGAUACUGACACUGAGGAGCGAAAGCCAGGGGAGCAAACGGG
rnacentral:rRNA from 1 species